CUGCUGCCUUCCGUAGGAGUUUGGGCCGUGUCUCAGUCCCAAUGUGGCCGUCCACCCUCUCAGGCCGGCUACUGAUCGUCGCCUUGGUGGGCCUUUACCCCGCCAACCAGCUAAUCAGACGCGGGUCCAUCUUGCACCACCGGAGUUUUUCACACUGUCCCAUGCAGGACCGUGCGCUUAUGCGGUAUUAGCACCUAUUUCUAAGUGUUAUCCCCCAGUGCAAGGCAGGUUACCCACGCGUUACUCACCCGUCCGCCA
rnacentral:rRNA from 1 species